UUUACAAUACUCCCCCAUCUUCUUCACCUCCUUCAUUAUCACUCCACUCCUCUGCUUUCCCCUGUUUCCAAGAACCCCAAAAACAUUUCUCCAAAAACAAAACAAAAAAACCCCAUCAUUAAGCAAAUUAUAUUACUACUAUUACCAUAAAAAAACAUCAAAAAAAAAAAAAACACCAUGAGAACCACUAACCAUUUAAUAGGUCUAUUAAACUUCUUCACUUUCUUAGCAUCAAUUCCAAUUUUAGGAGGUGGAAUCUGGCUAAGCAGCAAAGCAAACAACACAGAUUGCUUAAAAUUCCUUCAAUGGCCAUUAAUAGUAAUUGGGGUUUCAAUAAUGGUUGUUUCUUUAGCUGGAUUCGCCGGUGCUUGUUACAGAAACACUUUCUUGAUGUACAUUUAUCUAUGGGCAAUGUUCUUUAUCAUUGCUGCUUUAAUUGGAUUUGUCAUUUUUGCUUAUGCUGUUACUGAUAAAGGUUCGGGUCGACCCGUUAUGAACCGGGUAUAUUCGGAGUAUUACUUGCAUGAUUAUUCGGGUUGGUUAGAACAAAGGGUUACGAGCCAAAGCUACUGGGAAAAGAUUAGUUCAUGUAUAAGGGAUUCACAUAGUUGUGGGAAGAUGAGGAGGAGUUCUAAUGGAAUUCCUGAGACUGCUGAGAUGUUUUAUUCAAGGAAACUUAGUCCUAUUGAGUCUGGUUGUUGCAAGCCUCCUACAGAAUGUGGCUAUGUUUAUCAGAACGAGACGGUUUGGAUUCCGGGAGGGGGACUAGUCGGAGCUGAUCCAGAUUGUGUUAAAUGGAGCAAUGAUCAAGAACAACUCUGUUACAACUGUGACUCUUGUAAAGCUGGUGUACUUGCUAGCCUUAAAAAGAGUUGGAGAAAGGUGUCUGUCAUCAACAUUGUCAUAUUGAUCCUCCUGGUGAUCAUGUAUAUGGUUGCCAUCGCGGCGUUUAGGCACAACAAACGGAUCGAUAACGAUGAGCCUUACGGAGAAACCAGGAUGGAGAAGUCUCAACCUAGCAGGAUACACUUCUGAAAGAGUCUGUUUCCACAACUACAGAGUAAAAGUUUGAAAUGUAUUCUUGUGUUUGUCAUCCGACGGAGGUAUGAAUAACGAGGCCACCCACAACUUUCUCCCUUCCUUCGUCCAUAUGUUGGAAUAAGAUAAGGCGUGUGGUUCACUUCAAUUGCUCAAUUGCCUCGUUGUACGGUGCUUAUGACGUGUUAUAGAACCUCCAUCGUGCCGGGAAGGACGACCAAGUAGUGCAUAGCUAAUGGCAAAGGAGCCGAUUCAACAUCAACGACUUCGUGCCGCAUUGGAGUAAUCCGGUGGCGUAGCCAU